GACGAACGCUGGCGGCGUGCCUAACACAUGCAAGUCGAGCGGAGUCGAUCGACGGAAGCCUUCGGGCGGAAGAUGGUUGACUUAGCGGCGGAUGGGUGAGUAACGCGUGGGCAACCUGCCUCGAAGACCGGGAUAACAGACCGAAAGGGCUGCUAAUACCGGAUGUGGUCAAGGAUCCGCAUGGAUCUUUGAUUAAAGGGGAAACCCGUUUCGAGAUGGGCCCGCGUCCUAUCAGCUAGUUGGUGAGGUAAAAGCUCACCAAGGCGACGACGGGUAGCCGGCCUGAGAGGGUGACCGGCCACACUGGAACUGAGACACGAUCCAGACUCCUACGGGGGCAGCAGUGGGGAAUCUUCCACAAUGGGCGAAAGCCCGAUGGAGCGACGCCGCGUGAGCGAAGAAGGCCUUCGGGUUGUAAAGCUACUGUCUGGAGGGACGAAGGAAGUGACGGUACCUCCGGAGGAAGCCACGGCUAACUACGUG
rnacentral:rRNA from 1 species